AUGAUGAAGCAGACUGCAUCAGACUACUGCAUAAUGUAUUUUUUCUCACCAUUCCACCUGUCCGGCUUUACCACUAAACUCAACAUUUAUACCAUCAAUACCUUCACAAACAGCAUCACCAGUCUUAUCACUAUUUCCAACAUCCCAACAAUUUUCAAUGCAAGCCUUACCAUCAUCACUACAGUCAUCAUCGUCCCCAACCUUCACACCAUCUUCAUCAUCUGCAUCAUCAAGCAGAUCAUCUUCAUCUUCACCAGUGUCAGCACAAUCAGCGUUAUCAUUCACACUAUCAUCAAUGCCACCAUCUUCAGCAAUAACUUCAACACUAACUUUAUUAACCUCACUAUCUUUACUUACAUCUUCAUCACCAACAUUAAUAUCAUUAUCAUCUUUCUCAUCAACACCAUCUUCACCUGUCCCACAAUUGUCAUUAUCAUCACCAUUAUCUUCAUAACACCAUACUCAGCACAAUCUUCAUCAGUACCAAUAUCAUCAUCAUCUUCUUCAACAUCUUCAUCACUAACAUUACCAUCAUCAACACCAUCUUCAUCUAUCCCACUAUCAGCAUCAACCUCAUCAGCACAGCCCUCACAGUCAGCAAACUCUGCAUCAUCUACCUCAUCCUUACUGUCAUCAACAGACUCGCAGCCUUCAUCACCAUCCACACCAACUUUAUCUUUAACAUUAACAUCUUCAUCAUUAUCAACACCUUCAGUACUAUCAACUCCACCAUCCUCAUCAUCUUUACCUUCCACAGCAGCAUCUUCAUCAGUCCCACUAUCGCCAUCCUCAUAUUCUUUUUUCUUCAUAUAUUUCUUCAUAUUCUACACUAUUAUCUACACCAUCUUCAUCAUCUUCACCACCAUCUUUAUCAUCAUCACCAUCUUCAAUACUAUCAACAACACCAUCCUCAUUAUCUUCAAUAUUCUCAGCACCUCCUUUAUCAGACCAACUAUCAUCAUCACCAACAUCACCAUCUUCAAUACUAUCAAAAACAUCAUCUCCACCAUCCUCAGCAUCAUCUUCAUAACUCCCAAUAUCAACAUCAUCAUCAUCAUCAUCAUCUUCUUCUAUACUAUCAUCUACGCCUCCUUUAUCACCAACUUUUCUUUCAUCUUUAUCAUCAUCAUCAACAACCGCCACUAG
ensembl:lncRNA